UACGAGAGGCCCAAACGUUGUUCGGAAUCACUGGGCUUAAAGGGCGCGUAGGCGGGCUGCCAAGUCCGGGGUGAAAUCCUCCGGCUUAACCGGAGAAUGGCCUCGGAUACUGGCGGCCUGGAGGGGGGUAGGGGCGUGCGGAACUGUGGGUGGAGCGGUGAAAUGCGUUGAGAUCCACAGGAACUCCGGUGGCGAAGGCGGCACGCUGGACCUUUUCUGACGCUGCGGCGCGAAAGCCAGGGGAGCGAACGGG
rnacentral:rRNA from 1 species